GACGAACGCUGGCGGCGUGCUUAACACAUGCAAGUCGAACGGAAAGGCGCUGCUUUUGUGUGGUUCUCGAUUGCCGAACGGGUGAGUAACACGUGUGUAACCUGCCCCUGACUGUGUGAGAACUUCAGGAAACUGGGGCUCAUAUCGGAUAGGAUCUCCUGCUGCACGGUGGGGGUAGGAAAGUGUCGGCGGUUGGGGAUGGACUCGCGGCUUAUCAGCUUGUUGGUGGGGUAGUGGCUUACCAAGGCUUUGACGGGUAGCCGGCCUGAGAGGGUGACCGGCCACAUUGGGACUGAGAUACGGCCCAGACUCCUACGGGAGGCAGCAGUGGGGAAUAUUGCACAAUGGGCGGAAGCCUGAUGCAGCAACGCCGCGUGCGGGAUGACGGCCUUCGGGUUGUAAACCGCUUUCGCCUGUGACGAAGCGUGAGUGACGGUAAUGGGUAAAGAAGCACCGGCUAACUACGUG
rnacentral:rRNA from 1 species